rnacentral:rRNA from 1 species
GACGAACGUUGGCGGCGUGCUUAAUACAUGCAAGUCAACUGAAGCAGUGGUAGCAAUAUCGCUGUGGAGGUGGCGCACGGGUGAGUAACACGUAGGUAAUCUGCCUUCAGGUCUGGCAUAACUCCGGGAAACCGGGGCUAAUAGCAGAUGAUGCAGCGGCUCGACAUCGAGACAGUUGUUAAAGCUAUGGCGCCUGAAGAUGAGCCUGCGUCUGAUUAGCUAGUUGGCGGGGUAACGGCCCACCAAGGCAACGAUCAGUAGCUGGUCUGAGAGGAUGAUCGGGCACACUGGAACUGAGACACGGUCCAGAAUCCUACGGGAGGCAGCAGUAAGGAAUAUUGCUCAAUGGGAGAAAUCCUGAAGCAGCAACGCCGCGUGAGGGACGAAGGGCUUUUGCUUGUAAACCUCUGUAGUGAGAGAAAAAAAUCCCAAUCUUUGGGACAUGAUGGUAUCUCAAAAGUAAGCCCCGGCUAACUACGUG